rnacentral:lncRNA from 1 species
UCUUUGCUUUCGAAGUGCUGCUCCAUUUUUGAACUGCACCUCACCGUAAACAGGUCGACUGUCCCGUUUAUGUCCUCCAAGACCAACCUCGGAGGCGAAGAAUCUGAGCAAUCCCUGCCUUCUUGGAUAUCCGAUCAUCUAGGGGCGAAGUCUUAUAUCGACGAAACGAGCCAGUCUCCCUCGUUUCCACCAAUACUAACAAAUUCCCCAAAGAUGGAUACCUCGAGUCUCAAUAAGGAGAGUAAUGUCAUGUCCCAGGCUGAACUAGACAAUCUCGGAGUGACGUAUUCAUUUCCCUCAGGGGUACGACUUCGGAUUCCUGGGUAUGGCGAAACAAUUUUAUCAGCCCGCCAAGGCGAGGUAGCGUUUUACGAAGCUGCCUUUCUGGCCGGCUUAAGGCUUCCCAUUCAUCCGACCAUUAGGGAAAUUUUGAUUCAUUACAAGAUUUGCCCUGCACAGUUAUCUUCCAACGCAUGGCGAUCAGUCAUCUGUUCGUUGGUGAUCUGGCGUCACUUCAAACGUCACAUGUUCUGUGACGAAUUAAGGUGCUUAUACUCCCUCAGCCCCUUACCCGAUUCGGGGUGGUACUACUUCAAGGCGAGGCCUGAGAAGAACUUGCUCCGAGGAUCUCCGAGCAACGUAAAGGGGUGGAAGACGAGGUUCUUUUUUGCCUCGGGGGAUGAGUGGGAAUUCCCCUCGGGCACGGCCGCCAGCGAUAGUAUCCCACGAGUUCCCAGAUCUUGGGGAACGCCAUGUUAGUUCCUAUUUGUUUUUUGUUUGUAAGCCAUUGUUGUCGCCUGACAUGCGAUUUUCAGGGAAAAACUGCAACAAGUUGCCGACUCUGUCCAAGGUUGAUGCCAAGAGGACGGAGGCGAUCUUCGGAAAGAUAGAGCCCGGAGGUUACUUUGAGGUUUCGAAGAUUCUGGGUUCGCGGACCUUCAAGAAACAUUUUGCGGUUAGUUGCACGGCACUUUCCACCAGUGGCGGAGACAACACGACCUCGGGUGAUGAUGGUGAGUUCGUUACUCGCGAAGAUUCGGUUGAAUACCUGGGAGUCAUUAGACGGGGUAUCGGAGGGGCGAUUAGGAGAGCCCUGCCUGGUAUCCCCGAUGAAACCCUUCUAAGGUGGCUCGGGGGGAAGGUAAAGGACCCGUUUACGAAUCUCCUAUCUGGGAAGUCCGGCUCCAGUUCGAAUUUAGGGUCGGAUUCCAUUUCGAAUUCCGAGCUGCCCCCCGAGCUCAGAUCAGAUGGUAUAUUCUAGAAACCAAUUAUUUACGAUUUUCUUCCUUAUCUGACAUAUCCCAUGUGCAGCUAUAUCGGCUCGAGUUGGUGCCCCCCUCCUUGGGUAAAAAAAUAGGAGGUAAGGCCAAGGCUGCGAAGGCGACGACAGCCAAGCCUCCCACCAAAGGGGUCGUUAUUCGGGAAAAACGUACGCGGGAAGGUGACCGCGUAAUCGAAAUAGGCGAGCCGGACUCUUCGAAGGGAAAGGAAGCCGCGCCGCCCCCGCCGCCUAAAAGAUUCAAAUCCAACCGAGGGGCGAUCAAUGCCAGGGGGCGUGCUGCUGAGGCGGGGACCUCUUCCCCUGGUGGCGAUAUAGGAUCUAUGAUGUCGGAUGCUUCUGUGGCUCGGAGGGUGCUCACUGGGGUGAUUCCGGCUUCCGACAAGAAAGAGGUUGAUCAAUUAUCCGAGAAUGAAUUGGUCGCCAAAUCUUUCCACGCCUUGGGUCAGGUAAUUUGUGAAAAUCUUGGUGUUGUUUCUUUUGACAAAUACUGAGAUGUUAUUUUGGCAGGUGGUCGUGCUCGCCUCUUCUCUUGCCCUUCGCAGCCAGGAGCAUCUCCACGACAUAGACUUCCAUAUGGCUCGCGCAGAUUCCGUCGAGCUUGAAUUGGUUAAAGCUCAAAAGCGAGCCGUUAAGGCGGAGAAUCGACUGGCCGAGCUUAGCGAGGAAGGAUCAAAGCCCGGCACCGAGGUGGAUGAUCUGAAGGCCACCGUGGCGGAACUCACAAAUAAACUGGCGAAGGCCAAGGAGCUAGCCAUCGAGGACUUCAAAGUCUCGGGAGAAUUCAAGGCAGCGGUUAUAGAUUCUGCUGUAACAUACUUCAACGAGGGAUUUGAAUUCUGCAAGAGGCAGCUCCUCCAUCAAUUCCCCAACCUCGGCGUCGAAGUGGCAAAUAUGGCGAUGGACCCAAGUUUCGCUGAGGAAAAAGAGCCGAUGAAAGAGGGAGAAGAUCCUAUUGCAGAAGUUGCUCCUGAUGUAUAAUUUUUUAUUUUUUUUUUAAGAUGUAAUUUUUGUCCAUAUGAAUGAAAAUAUCUUUAUUCCCCGUUCUUUCACUUAACUGAAAUGAUGUUGGCGACUUCAAUAACGGGCGAUCUCGUUUUGUUUUGAACUGGCGAUCAUUGAUUUAGGCGAUCAUAAUAAUGGCAACAUAGAUAUGGGCGAUCAGAGUAUCAUCCUGCAAUGGAUUGGCGAUUAUAAUAUUGGCGACAUCAACAAUGGCGA